GAUGAACGCUGGCGGCGUGCCUAAUACAUGCCAGUCGAGCGAACGGACGAGAAGCUUGCUUCUCUGAUGUUAGCGGCGGACGGGUGAGUAACACGUGGAUAACCUCCCUAUAAGUCUGGGAUAACUUCGGGAAACCGGAGCUAAUACCGGAUAAUAUUUUGAACCGCAUGGUUCAAUAGUGAAAGACGGUCUUGCUGUCACUUAUAGCUGGAUCCGCGCUGCAUUAGCUAGUUGGUAAGGUAACGGCUUACCAAGGCAACGAUGCAUAGCCGACCUGAGAGGGUGAUCGGCCGCACUGGAGCUGGGACACGGUCCAGGGUCCUACGGGAGGCAGCGGUAGGGAAUCUUCCGCAAUGGGCGAAAGCCUGACGGAGCAACGCCGCGUGAGUGAUGAAGGUCUUCGGAUCGGAAAACUCUGUUAUGAGGGAAGAACAUAUGUGUAAGUAACUGUGCACAGCUUGACGGUACCUAAUCAGAAAGCAACGGCUAACUACGUG
rnacentral:rRNA from 1 species